AGGCGGGUGUCCCCUUCCUCCCUCACUGCUCCAUGUGCGUCCCUCCUGAAGCUGUGCUCUCAGUUGAAGAGGACGGACUUCCCCGAGUAGAGAUAGACCGGUCCCCUGCUAG
rnacentral:snRNA from 1 species